GUCCCCUUCGUCUAGCCUGGCCCAGGACACCGCCCUUUCACGGCGGCGACACCGGUUCAAAUCCGGUAGGGGACGCCA
rnacentral:tRNA from 3 species